rnacentral:rRNA from 1 species
CGUGUAGGCGGUGCGGUAAGUUGGGCGUGAAAUCCCCGGGCUUAACCCGGGGGGCGGUUCAAGACUGCCGCGCUAGGGUGGCGGGAGGAGGGCGAGUGGAAUUCCCGGUCGUAGCGGUGAAAUAGCGUAGAUAUCGGGAGGGAACACCUGCGGCGAAGGCGGCUGCCUGGACCGUAACCGACGCUGAGGCGCGAAAGCUAGGGGAGCAAACAGGAUUAGAUACCCUGGUAGUCCUAGCCCUAAACGUUGAACACUGGGUGUAGCCCCUCACGGGGCGUGUGCCGAAGCUAACGCAUUAAGUGUUCCGCCUGGGGAGUACGGUCGCAAGGCUGAA